rnacentral:rRNA from 1 species
AUUGAACGCUGGCGGCAGGCCUAACACAUGCAAGUCGAGCGAGCGGCGGACGGGUGAGUAAUGUAUGGGGACUGCCCGAUCGAGGGGGAUAACUACUGGAAACGGUGGCUAAUACCGCAUACUAUCGGAUAACCCAUAUGGGAUUAGCUAGUAGGUGGGGUAAAGGCUCACCUAGGCGACGAUCUCUAGCUGGUCUGAGAGGAGGAUGAGCAAAACUGGGACGGGGAAACGGCCCAGACCCCUACGGAGGCAGCAGGGGGGAAUAUUGGACAAGGGGCGAAAGCCUGAGGAAGCCAUGCGGGGGGGAUGAAGAAGGCCUUAGGGUUGUAAAGUACGUUCAGCGGGGAGGCGGUACCCGCAGAAGAAGCACCGGCUAACUCCGUGCCAGCAGCCGCGGUAAUUC